rnacentral:lncRNA from 1 species
UUUUUUUUUGCAUUAUUUAAUAGGGUGUCCGCGCUACGCGCAGAAUUGUUGAUAACUAUUUUUCUUGAAAAGAUGUUUUUAUUUUUAUUUUAUGUGUGCCAUUUGCCAUUUUGAUGCCAUUUUUAUUAAAGGUGAUAUAGUACACUAUCAAUAAAUGUUACAAUUAGGAAUUCACUAAACUGGUCGUUUUGUAAUGUUGAUAUUAUUUGGUUGAAAUCAUACUUAAAU